CGGCCUCACCUGGGGGGUCCCGUCAAGGGGCUGAGAUUCUGCUGGCGUGGUUUUCCAUGCAGCGCAGUGACCCGAUGAACCUGAUCCAGUUCACACUGGCGUAGGGAUGGUGUCGGCCUCGCGGG
rnacentral:ncRNA from 2 species